ACUCAAAUGAAUUGACGGGGGCCCGCACAAGCGGUGGAACAUGUGGUUUAAUUCGAUGAUACGCGAGGAACCUUACCUGGACUUAAAUGGCAGUUGCAUAGAUCAGAGAUGGUCUUUUCCGUUAAAAGACUACUGUCAAGGUGCUGCAUGGCUGUCGUCAGCUCGUGCCGUGAGGUGUCGGGUUAAGUCCCAUAACGAGCGCAACCCCUGCUGUCAGUUGCCAACGGGUAAAGCCGGGAACUCUGACAGGACUGCCGCCGUAAGGCGCGAGGAAGGCGGGGAUGACGUCAAGUCAGCACGGCCCUUACGUCCAGGGCUACACACGUGUUACAAUGGCCAAUACAGAGGGCAGCGAGCAGGCGACUGUAAGCGAAUCUCGAAAGUUGGUCCCAGUUCGGAUAGGAGUCUGCAACCCGACUCCUUGAAGAUGGAAUCGCUAGUAAUCGCAUAUCAGCCAUGAUGCGGUGAAUACGUUCCCGGGCCUUGUACACACCGCCCGU
rnacentral:rRNA from 1 species